UAUUCCUGUACUUGGUGUUACUGCGAAGGGGGGACGGAGAAGGCUAUGUUGGCCGGGCGACGGUUGUCCCGGUUUAAGCGUGUAGGCUGGUUUUCCAGGCAAAUCCGGAAAAUCAAGGCUGAGGCGUGAUGACGAGGCACUACGGUGCUGAAGCAACAAAUGCCCUGCUUCCAGGAAAAGCCUCUAAGCAUCAGGUAACAUCAAAUCGUACCCCAAACCGACACAGGUGGUCAGGUAGAGAAUACCAAGGCGCUUGAGAGAACUCGGGUGAAGGAACUAGGCAAAAUGGUGCCGUAACUUCGGGAGAAGGCACGCUGAUAUGUAGGUGAAGCGACUUGCUCGUGGAGCUGAAAUCAGUCGAAGAUACCAGCUGGCUGCAACUGUUUAUUAAAAACACAGCACUGUGCAAACACGAAAGUGGACGUAUACGGUGUGACGCCUGCCCGGUGCCGGAAGGUUAAUUGAUGGGGUUAGCGGUAACGCGAAGCUCUUGAUCGAAGCCCCGGUAAACGGCGGCCGUAACUAUAACGGUCCUAAGGUAGCGAAAUUCCUUGUCGGGUAAGUUCCGACCUGCACGAAUGGCGUAAUGAUGGCCAGGCUGUCUCCACCCGAGACUCAGUGAAAUUGAACUCGCUGUGAAGAUGCAGUGUACCCGCGGCAAGACGGAAAGACCCCGUGAACCUUUACUAUAGCUUGACACUGAACAUUGAGCCUUGAUGUGUAGGAUAGGUGGGAGGCUUUGAAGUGUGGACGCCAGUCUGCAUGGAGCCGACCUUGAAAUACCACCCUUUAAUGUUUGAUGUUCUAACGUUGGCCCGUUAUCCGGGUUGCGGACAGUGUCUGGUGGGUAGUUUGACUGGGGCGGUCUCCUCCUAAAGAGUAACGGAGGAGCACGAAGGUUGGCUAAUCCUGGUCGGACAUCAGGAGGUUAGUGCAAUGGCAUAAGCCAGCUUGACUGCGAGCGUGACGGCGCGAGCAGGUGCGAAAGCAGGUCAUAGUGAUCCGGUGGUUCUGAAUGGAAGGGCCAUCGCUCAACGGAUAAAAGGUACUCCGGGGAUAACAGGCUGAUACCGCCCAAGAGUUCAUAUCGACGGCGGUGUUUGGCACCUCGAUGUCGGCUCAUCACAUCCUGGGGCUGAAGUAGGUCCCAAGGGUAUGGCUGUUCGCCAUUUAAAGUGGUACGCGAGCUGGGUUUAGAACGUCGUGAGACAGUUCGGUCCCUAUCUGCCGUGGGCGCUGGAGAACUGAGGGGGGCUGCUCCUAGUACGAGAGGACCGGAGUGGACGCAUCACUGGUGUUCGGGUUGUCAUGCCAAUGGCACUGCCCGGUAGCUAAAUGCGGAAGAGAUAAGUGCUGAAAGCAUCUAAGCACGAAACUUGCCCCGAGAUGAGUUCUCCCUGACUCCUUGAGAGUCCUGAAGGAACGUUGAAGACGACGACGUUGAUAGGCCGGGUGUGUAAGCGCAGCGAUGCGUUGAGCUAACCGGUACUAAUGAGCCGUGAGGCUUAACCUUACAACGCCGAAG
rnacentral:rRNA from 1 species